UAAAAAACUAGGUCUCAGUUCAGAUUGCAGGCUGCAACCCGCCUGCAUGAAGUCGGAAUUGCUAGUAAUCGCGGAUCAGCAUGCCGCGGUGAAUACGUUCCCGGGCCUUGUACACACCGCCCGUCACACCAUGGGGAGCCGGUAAUACCCGAAGUCAGUAGUCCAACCUCGUGAGGACGCUGCCGAAGGUAGGAUUGGCGACUGGGGUGAAGUCGUAACAAGGUAUC
rnacentral:rRNA from 1 species